rnacentral:misc_RNA from 1 species
AAGGGAGCAAGUCGAGCGAAUCAAUGGGAGCUUGCUCCCCGAGAUUAGUUGCCGACGGGUGAGUAACAAGAGGGCUACCUGCCUGUAAGACUGGGAUAACUUCGGGAAACCGGAGCUAAUACCGGAUAAUUCUUUUCUACACAUGUAGGAAAGCUGAAAGACGGUUUACGCUGUCACUUAUAGAUGGGCCCGCGGCGCAUUAGCUAGUUGGUGAGGUAACGGCUCACCAAGGCCACGAUGCGUAGCCGACCUGAGAGGGUGAUCGGCCACACUGGGACUGAGACACGGCCCAGACUC